CCUGGCUCAGAACGAACGCUGGCGGCAUGCCUAACACAUGCAAGUCGAACGAACCCUUCGGGGUUAGUGGCGCACGGGUGCGUAACGCGUGGGAACCUGCCUUUAGGUUCGGAAUAACAGUGAGAAAUUACUGCUAAUACCGGAUAAUGUCUUCGGACCAAAGAUUUAUCGCCUUUAGAUGGGCCCGCGUUGGAUUAGCUAGUUGGUGGGGUAAAGGCCUACCAAGGCGACGAUCCAUAGCUGGUCUGAGAGGAUGAUCAGCCACACUGGAACUGAGACACGGUCCAGACUGCUACGGGAGGCAGCAGUGGGGAAU
rnacentral:rRNA from 1 species